CACGUAGGCGGUUUGGUAAGUCAGCUGUGAAAUCCCUCGGCUCAACCGAGGAACUGCAGCUGAUACUGCCGAACUAGAGUGCGCGAGGGGAGAGCGGAAUUCCUGGUGGAGCGGUGAUAUGCGUAGAUAUCAGGAGGAACGCCGGAGGCGAAAGCGGCUCUCUGGCGCGCAACUGACGCUGAGGUGCGAAAGCUAGGGGAGCGAACA
rnacentral:rRNA from 1 species